rnacentral:rRNA from 1 species
ACAUGCCUACAACAUAGCGUUAAUGCACCAAAUCCCAUUAGAACUUCACAGUUAAGCAUGCUCAGGAUAGACUAGUACUAGGAUGGGUGACUUCCCUAGAAGUCCUAUUGUUUUACAUGCC